GCCUGUUUAUCAAAAACAUCGCUCCUUGUUUCACAAAAAAUAAGGAGUCGGACCUGCCCAGUGAGGUUUUCAACGGCCGCGGUACUCUGACCGUGCAAAGGUAGCAUAAUAAUUUGCCUUAUAAUUGAAGGCUAGUAUGAAUGGUUUGACGAGAAUAAAGCUGUCUCUUUGCAAUUCAAUAAAAAUUUAUUUAUGAAUGAAAAAGUUCAUAUAAUAUUAAUAGACAAGAAGACCCUAUCGAGCUUAAAAAAAAUUAAUAGAACGAGAUUAAAUUGGACUAAAAAACUAUCUAUUAAAGAUUUUAGUUGGGGCGACUAAGGAACAAAUAAAGCUUCCUUAAAUUAUUUUUGUUUAUUAACUUUGAUCCGAAAGUUUUCGAUUAAUAAAAUUAGUUACCGUAGGGAUAACAGCAUAAUCUUUUUUGAGAGCUCUUAUCGAAAAAAAGGUUUGUGACCUCGAUGUUGGACCAGAAUAUCCUAAAGAUGCAGCAGUCUUUAAGGGUUGGUCUGUUCGACCAUUAAUAUUCUACGUGAUCUGAGUUCA
rnacentral:rRNA from 1 species